rnacentral:rRNA from 1 species
CAGCCGCCGCGGUAAUACGAGGGGGGCAAGCGUUGUUCGGAAUUAUUGGGCGUAAAGGGCGCGUAGGCGGUUUGGCAAGUUUGGUGUGAAAUCUUCGGGCUCAACUCGAAGUCUGCAUCGAAAACUGCCGGGCUUGAGUAUGGGAGAGGUGAGUGGAAUUUCCGGUGUAGCGGUGAAAUGCGUAGAUAUCGGAAGGAACACCUGUGGCGAAAGCGGCUCACUGGACCAUAACUGACGCUGAGGCGCGAAAGCUAGGGGAGCAAACAGGAUUAGAUACCCGUGUAGUCCCUGUCUCUUAUAC